rnacentral:lncRNA from 1 species
AUGCCCCCCUCUGCAGAGUACGUAUACUGGAUCUUUGUUUGGUGCUCUCUACUUCAAGGUCUCGUGGGAUUAGGACCGCUAGGCGGGACAGGACCUCUAAGUAUCUCCUUGAUCAAAGGAAAGAAGGAGGGAGGAUUAACACCCCUAAUUUGCAAAACAUCUUUCUUCAUCCUCCUCACCAUCAAAUUUUCUUCCCCAUGCAACACUCUGCACGCCUCAUAUGAGUGCAUGUUCAGAAGAACAACCAGUACCAUGGCCACCAAAAUCAGGUGUACAAACUUCAUUUUGUUAGGCAAAUGA